AUUGAACGCUGGCGGCAGGCUUAACACAUGCAAGUCGAGCGGGGGGAGGUAGCUUGCUACCGGACCUAGCGGCGGACGGGUGAGUAAUGCUUAGGAAUCUGCCUAUUAGUGGGGGACAACAUCUCGACAGGGAUGCUAAUACCGCAUACGUCCUACGGGAGACAGUAGGGGAUCGUCGGCCCUUGCUCUAAUAGAUGAGCCUAAGUCGGAUUGGCUAGUUGGUGGUGUAAAGGCCUACCAAGGCGACGUUCUGUAGCGGGUCUGAGAGGAUGAUCCGCGAAACUGGGAGUGGGACACGGCCCAGACUCCUACGGGAGGCAGCAGUGGGGAAUAUUGGACAAUGGGGGGAACCCUGAUCCAGCCAUGCCGCGUGUGUGAAGAAGGCCUUAUGGUUGUAAAGCACUUUAAGCGAGGAGGAGGCUACUUUAGUUAAUACCUAGAGAUAGUGGACGUUACUCGCAGAAUAAGCACCGGCUAACUCUGUGCCAGCCGCCGCGGUAA
rnacentral:rRNA from 1 species